rnacentral:rRNA from 1 species
UGGCGGACGGGUGAGUAAUGCGUGGGUAAUCUACCCUAGGGUGGGGAAUAACUUCCCGAAAGGGGAGCUAAUGCCUCAUGUGCACCACUCUCGCAAGGGAGUAUUGGAAAGCCGUACCGAGGGUGCGGCGCCCAAGGAUGAGCUCACGUCCUAUCAGCUUGUUGGCGGGGUAACGGCCCACCAAGGCUGCGACGGGUAGCUGGUCUGAGAGGAUGAUCAGCCACACUGGGACUGAGACACGGCCCAGACUCCUACGGGAGGCAGCAGUGGGGAAUUUUGGACAAUGGGGGCAACCCUGAUCCAGCCAUGCCGCGUGAGUGAAGAAGGCCUUCGGGUUGUAAAGCUCUUUCGGCCGGAACGAAACGGCUCGGGUGAAUAUCCCGGGUUACUGACGGUACCGGAGGAAGAAGCACCGGCUAACUACGUGCCAGCAGCCGCGGUAAU